UGUCCAUCGAUAUUGUUGUUUCCACCCU
rnacentral:piRNA from 1 species